rnacentral:rRNA from 1 species
ACUUCGGUCUGGUGGCGAGUGGCGAACGGGUGAGUAACAUAUCGGAACGUAUCCAAUAAUGGGGGAUAACUAAUCGAAAGGUUGGCUAAUACCGCAUACGCCCUGAGGGGGAAAGCUAGGGAUCGUCAAGACCUGGCGUUAAUGGAGCGGCCGAUAUCUGAUUAGCUAGUUGGUGGGGUAAAGGCCCACCAAGGCGACGAUCAGUAGCUGGUCUGAGAGGACGACCAGCCACACUGGAACUGAGACACGGUCCAGACUCCUACGGGAGGCAGCAGUGGGGAAUUUUGGACAAUGGGCGCAAGCCUGAUCCAGCCAUUCCGCGUGAGUGAAGAAGGCCUUCGGGUUGUAAAGCUCUUUCGCAAGGGAAGAAAACUUAUCCUCUAACAUAGGAUGAGGUUGACGGUACCUUGAUAAGAAGCACCGGCUAACUACGUGCCAGCAGCCGCGGUAAUACGUAGGGUGCGAGCGUUAAUCGGAAUUACUGGGCGUAAAGCGUGCGCAGGCUGUUUUGUAAGUCAGAUGUGAAAUCCCCGAGCUCAACUUGGGAACUGCGUUUGGAACUACAAGACUAGAAUAGGUCAGAGGGGGGUAGAAUUCCACGUGUAGCAGUGAAAUGCGUAGAGAUGUGGAGGAAUAUCAAUGGCGAAGGCAGCCCCCUGGGAUCAUAUUGACGCUCAUGCACGAAAGCGUGGGGAGCAAACAGGAUUAGAUACCCUGGUAGUCCACGCCCUAAACGAUGUCUACUAGUUGUUGGUGGAGUAAAAUCCAUGAGUAACGCAGCUAACGCGUGAAGUAGACCGCCUGGGGAGUACGGUCGCAAGAUUAAAACUCAAAUGAAUUGACGGGGGCCCGCACAAGCGGUGGAUUAUGUGGAUUAAUUCG